UCGAUUUGGAGUUUGUUGCCCUGAGUGAUGGGCUCCGAAGCUAACGCGAUAAAUCGACCGCCUGGGGAGUACGGCCGCAAGGUUAAAACUCAAAUGAAUUGACGGGGGCCCGCACAAGCGGUGGAGCAUGUGGUUUAAUUCGAUGCAACGCGAAGAACCUUACCUGGUCUUGACAUCCACAGAAUCUUGCAGAGAUGCGAGAGUGCCUUCGGGAACUGUGAGACAGGUGCUGCAUGGCUGUCGUCAGCUCGUGUUGUGAAAUGUUGGGUUAAGUCCCGCAACGAGCGCAACCCUUAUCCUUUGUUGCCAUCGGUUUGGCCGGGAACUCAAAGGAGACUGCCGUUGAUAAAGCGGAGGAAGGUGGGGACGACGUCAAGUCAUCAUGGCCCUUACGACCAGGGCUACACACGUGCUACAAUGGCGUAUACAAAGGGAGGCGACCUCGCGAGAGCAAGCGGACCUCAUAAAGUACGUCUAAGUCCGGAUUGGAGUCUGCAACUCGACUCCAUGAAGUCGGAAUCGCUAGUAAUCGUGAAUCAGAAUGUCACGGUGAAUACGUUCCCGGGUCU
rnacentral:rRNA from 1 species